rnacentral:rRNA from 1 species
GAUGAACGCUAGCUACAGGCUUAACACAUGCAAGUCGAGGGGCAGCGGGAUUGAAGCUUGCUUCCAUUGCCGGCGACCGGCGCACGGGUGAGUAACGCGUAUCCAACCUUCCGUACACUCAGGGAUAGCCUUUCGAAAGAAAGAUUAAUACCUGAUGGUAUGAUGAGAUUGCAUGAUAUCAUCAUUAAAGAUUUAUCGGUGUACGAUGGGGAUGCGUUCCAUUAGGUAGUAGGCGGGGUAACGGCCCACCUAGCCAACGAUGGAUAGGGGUUCUGAGAGGAAGGUCCCCCACAUUGGAACUGAGACACGGUCCAAACUCCUACGGGAGGCAGCAGUGAGGAAUAUUGGGCAAUGGACGAGAGUCUGAACCAGCCAAGUAGCGUGAAGGAUGAAGGUCCUACGGAUUGUAAACUUCUUUUAUAAGGGAAUAAACCCUCCCACGUGUGGGAGCUUGUAUGUACCUUAUGAAUAAGCAGCGGCUAACUCCGUG